UCUAAAAUGGCAGAUUAGUGCAUUGAACUUAAACCUCAAAAAUAAAUUUUUUUUUUUAGAA
rnacentral:tRNA from 1 species